rnacentral:rRNA from 1 species
UACGUAGGUGGCGAGCGUUGUCCGGAAUUACUGGGCGUAAAGGGCGCGUAGGCGGCUUUUUAAGUCAGAUGUGAAAACCCGAGGCUUAACUUCGGGAGUGCAUUUGAAACUGAAGGGCUUGAGUGCAGGAGAGGUAAGUGGAAUUCCUAGUGUAGCGGUGAAAUGCGUAGAUAUUAGGAGGAACACCAGUGGCGAAGGCGACUUACUGGACUGUAACUGACGCUGAGGCGCGAAAGCGUGGGGAGCAAACAGGAUUAGAUACC